UUAACUAUUUGUCUUUUCUUCAGAAGGCAGGAUAGAAGAGUUUGGUCUUUCGGCAGGCAUGAUAGAGCCCGCCCUGGGCUCGCCUGCCGAAGCAACAGAUACAAAAUCACAAGGGUUUGGAGUUGGUAACUCGGUAAUGAUCCUUCCGCAGGUUCACCUACGGAAA
rnacentral:misc_RNA from 1 species